GAUGAAUUCCAGAACGUGCAAAACGCAACAAAAGCAGACGUCCUGUAGAAAGAAUCUUUGCGGUUACAAUUGUAAGAUACUGGGGUUUUAGGUCCCGGAGCCUUUUACAGAGCUUGCUCAGAUUCCCAACUGUGUAAAUUGUGACUGUAAUCCACGUACCUUUUUCCCUGGAUAUCAGCAUUCUCCAUGGAGUAUGCUUUAGGUUUUUUUCUUGUUGGCCCAAAUCACAUUUGGAAACCAAAAAAGGCCUGAAUCCAACUUAUUCCUUGUUGUAAGACCAUUUUAGGUUCAUGCAAAUGGUGAAAAAAAAUAAA